rnacentral:rRNA from 1 species
AUUGAACGCUGGCGGCAUGCUUUACACAUGCAAGUCGAACGGUAACAGGGAGCUUGCUCCGCUGACGAGUGGCGAACGGGUGAGUAAUGCGUCGGAACGUGCCGAGUAGUGGGGGGUAACGCAGCGAAAGUUGUGCUAAUACCGCAUACGUACUGAGGUAGAAAGUGGGGGACCUUCGGGCCUCACGCUAUUCGAGCGGCCGACGUCUGAUUAGCUAGUAGGUGAGGUAAAGGCUCACCUAGGCGACGAUCAGUAGCGGGUCUGAGAGGAUGAUCCGCCACACUGGGACUGAGACACGGCCCAGACUCCUACGGGAGGCAGCAGUGGGGAAUUUUGGACAAUGGGCGAAAGCCUGAUCCAGCCAUGCCGCGUGUCUGAAGAAGGCCUUCGGGUUGUAAAGGACUUUUGUCGGGGAGGAAAUCCCCAGCGCUAAUACCGCUGGGGGAUGACAGUACCUGAAGAAUAAGCACCGGCUAACUACGUGCCAGCCGCCGCCGUAAGAC